AAAAAUCCAUAAGUUAGGGAUCAUAGAAGGAAUUAAGUGGUGGCAAGCAAUGCAAAAAGGAAUGUGGAUUUUCACUGAUAUGGAGCAACAAUAAACAAUGUUUGGAAAACAAUGUAGUGUGUCAAAGGCAGACUGGUUGCUUUACCUCUUUAUGUACCUCUAGCAACAUUAGUAGGAAUUUGCUUCAGACCAAAGUAAGGGGAAAAGGAGGUGAUAUCAAGCACAGUCUGAGUGUGUAAGCCUUUGCUUCUAGUAAGUUUGAUCUUCCUGUGACAUACAACUUCAAUAGAGAGACUCUCACUGACUGUAAAAAGUUCUGGUACAAACCUUGAUAAUGUCAUGCAUUUGUGGGGUUGCUAAGAGGGAAAGAGAAAAAAUUCAUCAGUAACAUUUCAGUUCAUGUUUCAGAAAUGACUUUCAGCUGCUUCCUACAGAACCUACAAAGGUUCGUUGCAAUGCAACUCAUCACAAGAUGUCUAGCAGGCUUUUGUGUUCAUUAAGUUUACUUUGGUCAUCGCUACAGUUCAGCCUUGGGGCUGAAGCAGACCAUGGAACUGGUUUGCGUAUUGAGCUUUUGCAAAUCUAAGUACCACAGUGGCACUUAAUUUCAAAGAAAUGACCAAGUGUGCAGCUAUGUAUAAAUAACAAUUAAUUGACAAAUUAAAACACAUUAUGGCCAAAAUUUAGGCCACAUAUAUGAUUUACUUUCAUUCCUAAUGUUAUUCUGCUUGUACUGGUCUUGUGUUGAUUACAAGAAAAUAUAUGUAUAAAGAAAAUGCUUAAGUUCUUCAUUUAAUCAAAUCCAUCAGAAAAUUCAGUGAAAUAUUUAACAAGAAGAUUCAUGACAAGGAAACCUGGCCAGGUUUGCUGCUGGGUUUCCUCACUGGGAACUUUCCGGGGCUGCUGCUGCUCUCUGUGGCUGGAUGAGUGACUGCAAAUGGGACUAUUUUCCCGUUUAUUCCUUAUUCCCUACAAUUUUGUCCAAUCUUUCACAUUUUUAAAAUGUCUCUUUUUUGUUCUUUUUGGAUGCUGUUUCACAGGUCAGUGUACUCCACUGCCACAGAGCUUUUCUAGUUUUUUUUUUUUUUUUUUUAAUUAGCAUUGGCAAUAACUCGUGGUGUUGCCCCGCAGGGCCAUGCCGUGUGGUGUGCUGGGAGGGCACAGGAACGCAGCAGGGGUUUGGGAGCAGGUUUGUCAGCAGCAAGCAGAGGGCAAAUGGGAGAACAUCCCUCUGAACAUGUAGGAAGGCAAAGGCUGUAAAUCUCUCUCUGGUUUCCAAUCAACUGGCUGAGAGUUGUAGGCAGGGAGUUGCCCUGAAUUCAAGCCAAAAAAUGUCAUUUUCUUCAGACCGUUAUUUUGAAACCUCUGAGGCUUAGGUGAGAAGCAAAUUCAACCAUUUCUGUGAGGGCUAAGCUUGUACUGAACCUCCCUUCUCCAGUGAAGAAGAUUGUGAGGAGAAAUAAAGAGAAGGCCUUUCACCAGCUUCCCAAGUGAAUCAGCAGUUAGCGGCCUCUCUGUCACUGGCAGCUAGAGCUGCCUGUGCCCAGCCAGGGGCCUGCCAUGGCCUCACUUGAAGGUGCUGGAAAUCUCCAGAAGGCAGGACCGGGGUCUCUUUGGCACAAAGGGGGUGUUGGGGUGGCCCAAAUGGCAGUGUGACCCCAAAACAUUAGGGUAGCACAGACAAAAGGGCAUACAGCCUUAUCAUCUACAUGGCUUCUGUCGGCCCAUGCCCCCAGGCCUGUUUGGUAGCCAUUUUGGCCCAGCACCCAACGGCUGGGGAGAAGUAAUGAGGAAAAUUAUUUGAGAAAGAUCAACUCCUUAGCCCAGUCCAUGUGUCUAUGUCCUUAUGUGGCAGGACUGAGAAGAAGGAACAGGAAGAUGAAUGAGGCAGAACUGCAUUUUUCUGGUGUUCCUAAAAAGGAAUAUUAAGCUACCCCAGUGUACUGAAUUCAGAUGGAGUUCCUUCCUCAGACACAAAUCCCAUUGGAGAGUCUCAUAGAGAGACUGAAUCCUGAAUCAUUAAUUUUGCACUUGAUGUUCCUAAACGAAAGCUUUUUGAAGCAAAACCUUCUCUUGAUGUCUGAAUGCACCCUGAAGAUGUUAAUCACGAGAGCUGUAAAUUCAAGAAAAAAAGCCAUCCAGGCUUCACCCUUCUUUCUUAACACAUGCUUCAGAUGUCUGUUUCAAGAAAAUAUUUUGGAGAAUGACUGCAUUUCACAGGAAGAGAUUGCCUUGAGCACAGAUGUGCCAGACCUGUCUGGACCCAUACCUGGAGAGCACUGGUCCCAUCCUCUCCUGUGAAUGCUGCUCAGAGGAUGUGCGUAACCUGAACUUUCUGGAAGGAUGCAGGUUGACUUGCAUCCAGAAAUGUGGUUGAAAACCUGGAUCGUUUGGGUCACCAGACAAAUGUCUUGCAAAAGUAUGACUACAAAAUUAAACAAGCACAAACUGUGCUAAUCUAUCUUUCAGAUCAUAGUGGAACAGCAAUAAAUACACCUAUAAAAACAUGUAUUUUGUGCCCACCUGAAUAAUAAAAG